GAUGAACGCUGGCGGCGUGCUUAACACAUGCAAGUCGAACGAGGCACUUUAUUUGAGUUCCUUCGGGAGUGAUGAUUUUGUGACUGAGUGGCGGACGGGUGAGUAACUGGUGUUUAACAUGCCUCGUACAGGGGGAUAACAGUUCGAAACGGCUGCUAAUACCGCAUAAGCGCACGGCAAGGCAUGAGGCAGGGGGAAAAACUCCGGUGGUUUAAGAUGUACCCGCGGUGGAUUAGCUAGUUGGUGAGGUAACGGCCCACCAAGGCGACGGUCCAUAGCCGAGCUGGGAGGGUGACCUGGCACAUUGGGACUGGGCCACAGUCCGAACUCCUGCGGGAGGCGGCAGUGGGGAAUAUUGCACGCUAGGCGGAAGCAUGAAGGCGCGACGGCGGGUGAGCGCCGAAGUGUUUUAGUAUGUAAAGCUCUAUGAGCAGGGAAGAUAGUGACGGUACCUGAAGAAGAAGCACCGGCUAACUACGUG
rnacentral:rRNA from 1 species